UAUCUCUGUAGAGUCUGCAUAUCAAUAAGCGGAGGAAAAGAAACUAACUAGGAUUCCCUCAGUAACGGCGAGUGAAGCGGGAAGAGCUCAAAUUUGAAAUCUUCAAGGUUCUACCUUGACGAAUUGUAGUUUAAAGAAGUGUUUUCUGUUGGAGUUUUGGUAAAAGUUCUUUGGAAUAGGACAUCAUAGAGGGUGAGAAUCCCGUAUUUGACCAUUAUUUCCAGCUUUGUGAUACACUUUCAAAGAGUCGGAUUGUUUGGGAAUGCAGUCCAAAAUGGGUGGUAAAUUUCAUCUAAAGCUAAAUAUUGGCGAGAGACCGAUAGCGAACAAGUACCGUGAGGGAAAGAUGAAAAGAACUUUGAAAAGAGAGUUAAACAGUACGUGAAAUUGUCAAAAGGGAAGCGUUUGACACCAGUGUUGUUUUCUCGAAAAUCAAUUAAAAAUGGCAGGAUUUUGUGUUGUAUUGACUUUAUCAGCUUUCUGCACUCUUUUCCUGUCUUUUUUAAUGCACUUUUCGUUUAACAAGUCAACAUCAAUUUCUUUUGUUGUAAAAGGGUCAUUGGAAGGUGGCUUUCUUUUCGGAGAAAGUGUUUAUAGCCUUUGGCCUCUGCAAUCGGAGAGAUUGAGGUCUGCAGCGUAGAUCCUUCGGGGUUAGAUACAUUUGUGCUAAGUUAUAGCCUUUCAUAGACAACUUGUUGACUAUGAUCAGUCAUGUAGCUUACUCGCUUAUGCUAUUUUACCUACGCUUAGGAUGUUGAGUCAUCACACAUCUCU
rnacentral:rRNA from 1 species